rnacentral:rRNA from 2 species
UUAAGCAUAUCAAUAAGCGGAGGAAAAGAAACUAACCAGGAUUCCCUUAGUAACUGCGAGUGAACUGGGAAGAGCUCAAAUUUGUAAUCUGGCGGUCUCUGGCCGUCCGAGUUGUAAUCUAGAGAAGUGCUUACCUGCACUGGACCAUGUACAAGUCUCCUGGAAUGGAGCGUCAUAGAGGGUGAGAAUCCCGUCUUUGACAUGGACUGCCAGGGCUCAACAGGUGCGCUCUCGAAGAGUCGAGUUGUUUGGGAAUGCAGCUCAAAAUGGGUGGUAAAUGCCAUCUAAAGCUAAAUAUUGGCGAGAGACCGAUAGCGAACAAGUACCGUGAGGGAAAGAUGAAAAGAACUUUGGAAAGAGAGUUAAACAGUACGUGAAAUUGCUGAAAGGGAAACGCUUGAAGUCAGUCGCAUCGUCUGGAAAUCAACCUCGCUCUUGCUGGGUGUACUUUCCGUCCGAUGGGUCAGCAUCAGUUUCGGCCGCUGGACAAGGUCUUUGGGAAUGUGGCAUCUCAGGAUGUGUUAUAGCCCUUUGGCAGAUGCAGUGGCCGGGACUGAGGAACUCGGCGCGCCGCGAGGCUGGGACGCUCGUCGUCCACACCAACGCGCCUAGGAUGCUGGCGUAAUGGCUUUAAUCGACCCGUCUUGAAACACGGACCAAGGAGUCUAACAUGCCUGCGAGUGUUUGGGUGGAAAACCCAUGCGCGCAAUGAAAGUGAAGGUUGAGAUCCCUGUCGUGGGGAGCAUCGACGCCCAGACCAGACCUUCUGUGACGGCUCUGCGGUAGAGCAUGCAUGUUGGGACCCGAAAGAUGGUGAACUAUGCCUGAAUAGGGUGAAGCCAGAGGAAACUCUGGUGGAGGCUCGUAGCGAUUCUGACGUGCAAAUYGAUCGUCAAAUUUGGGUAUAGGGGCGAAAGACUAAUCGAACCAUCUAGUAGCUGGUUCCUGCCGAA